AGGCUCCAAGAAGCCACAGGCCUGAGCCAAGGACAGCCUGCUCAGAAGUGGCAGAGGAAGUGUUCAAACAGCAUCGGUCUCCCUCUGCCCUGUCGCGUUCCCUUGUGCCAGGAAAAUGGUGGAGACCCAGGCAGGGUGCUGUUUGGAAGUUUCUGGAGACAAUCUCAGGCCCGGCAACAACGACCUCCCAAAGGACGCUCACGCGUGCAUAGAAAACCAAUUUGCCAAAUGACCAAUUUACUAGGCAACGGGCUCA